rnacentral:hammerhead_ribozyme from 1 species
GCACUACUGAGGAGUCCCACAACAGGACAAAGCAGCUGUCCAGUGC